rnacentral:tRNA from 2 species
GUGAUAAUAAUUUAGAAAAAUAAUGAUUUAGAAGAUUAUAAAACAUAUUUAAAACUAAAUCAAUUAGUUUCAACGAACCCUUCUUUUAAUAUAUAAU